AUACGGAGGGUGCAAGCGUUAAUCGGAAUUACUGGGCGUAAAGCGUACGUAGGCGGUUAUUUAAGUCAGAUGUGAAAGCCCCGGGCUUAACUUGGGAACUGCAUUUGAAACUGGGUAACUAGAGUUUAGUAGAGGGGAGUGGAAUUUCAGGUGUAGCGGUGAAAUGCGUAGAGAUCUGAAGGAACACCAGUGGCGAAGGCGACUCCCUGGACUCGAACUGACGCUGAGGUACGAAAGCGUGGGUAGCAAACGGGAUUAGAAACCCCGGUAGUCC
rnacentral:rRNA from 1 species